GAUGAACGCUAGCGGCAGGCUUAAUACAUGCAAGUCGUGGGGCAGCAGGUUUGUAGCAAUACAGAUGCUGGCGACCGGCAAACGGGUGCGGAACACGUACAGAACCUUCCUUUGAGCGGGGAAUAGCCCAGAGAAAUUUGGAUUAAUACCCCAUAGUAUAAUGAAGUGGCAUCACUUUAUUAUUAAAGAUUUAUCACUCGAAGAUGGCUGUGCGGCUGAUUAGGUAGUUGGCGGGGUAAAGGCCCACCAAGCCUGCGAUCAGUAACUGGUGUGAGAGCACGACCAGUCACACGGGCACUGAGACACGGGCCCGACUCCUACGGGAGGCAGCAGUAAGGAAUAUUGGUCAAUGGAGGCAACUCUGAACCAGCCAUGCCGCGUGGAGGAUGAAGGUCCUCUGGAUUGUAAACUUCUUUUAUAUGGGACGAAAAAAGCUUUUCUUAAGUCGUCUGACGGUACCAUAUGAAUAAGCACCGGCUAA
rnacentral:rRNA from 1 species